UAAAUCAAUGGAACCUCCCGUGUUGAAAUCGGCAGGACAUCUAGUCAACGCUGACUAGCUCUCGUCCUGCUAAUUUCAACACAGAUUUGUUGUUCGUAAUGAAGCAUUAUCGUCUGGAUGCAUCGAUAGUGAGUUUACUGUGUCCGUUCAGAUUGUAAACACUGUUAGUCUUGAGCCCUGACGCUAACCUUCUACGGUACCUGCGUUACUGUAGAAAAACAAAUGCCGUCAUGUUUUCAGAAUUUUAGCCUCGACUUGGUACCGAAAUUUCGGUUCUCGGGAUGUCAUGAUGUAUCUGAAUAUCGAGCCACUUACUGUGUUCUACCGACUCAUUAUUAGCACACAGAUCUGGAAGUCUGUCACCAUUUGCCAACGUCAAUUUCUUUAGGUUGCAUUGACCAUCUUUGGAAGUUAGUUGCCCUUAAUGUACUCCACCGUACUUUCGUUGCCAAACUGCGUGCUUACAUCAUCAUUGUUUACAAACUGUAACAGACUCUGUACUGUAACAGAAAGACGCCGUUUAUCACUCUGGUUUCAUCCUCAGCUACACGCCGACCUCGCUACCGACAACCUCAAAGACGAGAAGCUGGAAGCAGGAAGAGAGAGAGAUGUAGAAGAUGCUUGGCAAGUAUGUGUAAAAAGGCAGAAAACACUGUACAAGAAGAUGCUUUUGAUUUCAACAUCAUCAUCAUCAUUAACGCUGCACAAAAACAAUCAGAAGACGACAUGACCUCCAUAAUUCAACAUUUCCUGCAACAUUCUCAGGUUUCUCCAGGAUUUGAGCUUCAGGUCACAAUCCUUCCGAACGCCAUCAUCUCCAAGAGUGUGUCCAUAGUGGCUACCUCAGCAGGUGAAA